rnacentral:rRNA from 1 species
AUUGAACGCUGGCGGCAGGCCUAACACAUGCAAGUCGAACGAGUGGCGGACGGGUGAGUAAUGUCUGGGAAACUGCCUGAUGGAGGGGGAUAACUACUGGAAACGGUAGCUAAUACCGCAUACCAUCAGAUGUGCCCAGAUGGGAUUAGCUUGUUGGUGGGGUGACGGCUCACCAAGGCGACGAUCCCCAGCUGGUCUGAGAGGAUGACCAGCCACACGUGAACUAAGACACGGUCCAGACUCGUACGGGAGGCAGCAGUGGGGAAUAUUGGACAAUGGGCGCAAGCCUGAUGCAGCCGUGCCGCGUGUAUGAAGAAGGCCUGCGUGUUUUAAAGUACGGUCAGCGGGGCGGCGUUACCCGCAGAAGACGCACCGGCUAACUCCGUGCCAGCAGCCGCGGUAAUUC